rnacentral:rRNA from 1 species
CAUGCAGUCGAGCGGAAACGAGUUAUCUGAACCUUCGGGGGAACGAUAACGGCGUCGAGCGGCGGACGGGUGAGUAAUGCCUAGGAAAUUGCCCUGAUGUGGGGGAUAACCAUUGGAAACGAUGGCUAAUACCGCAUGAUGCCUACGGGCCAAAGAGGGGGACCUUCGGGCCUCUCGCGUCAGGAUAUGCCUAGGUGGGAUUAGCUAGUUGGUGAGGUAAGGGCUCACCAAGGCGACGAUCCCUAGCUGGUCUGAGAGGAUGAUCAGCCACACUGGAACUGAGACACGGUCCAGACUCCUACGGGAGGCAGCAGUGGGGAAUAUUGCACAAUGGGCGCAAGCCUGAUGCAGCCAUGCCGCGUGUGUGAAGAAGGCCUUCGGGUUGUAAAGCACUUUCAGUCGUGAGGAAGGUAGUGUAGUUAAUAGCUGCAUUAUUUGACGUUAGCGACAGAAGAAGCACCGGCUAACUCCGUGCCAGCAGCCGCGGUAAUACGGAGGGUGCGAGCGUUAAUCGGAAUUACUGGGCGUAAAGCGCAUGCAGGUGGUUUGUUAAGUCAGAUGUGAAAGCCCGGGGCUCAACCUCGGAAUAGCAUUUGAAACUGGCAGACUAGAGUACUGUAGAGGGGGGUAGAAUUUCAGGUGUAGCGGUGAAAUGCGUAGAGAUCUGAAGGAAUACCGGUGGCGAAGGCGGCCCCCUGGACAGAUACUGACACUCAGAUGCGAAAGCGUGGGGAGCAAACAGGAUUAGAUACCCUGGUAGUCCACGCCGUAAACGAUGUCUACUUGGAGGUUGUGGCCUUGAGCCGUGGCUUUCGGAGCUAACGCGUUAAGUAGACCGCCUGGGGAGUACGGUCGCAAGAUUAAAACUCAAAUGAAUUGACGGGGGCCCGCACAAGCGGUGGAGCAUGUGGUUUAAUUCGAUGCAACGCGAAGAACCUUACCUACUCUUGACAUCCAGAGAACUUUCCAGAGAUGGAUUGGUGCCUUCGGGAACUCUGAGACAGGUGCUGCAUGGCUGUCGUCAGCUCGUGUUGUGAAAUGUUGGGUUAAGUCCCGCAACGAGCGCAACCCUUAUCCUUGUUUGCCAGCGAGUAAUGUCGGGAACUCCAGGGAGACUGCCGGUGAUAAACCGGAGGAAGGUGGGGACGACGUCAAGUCAUCAUGGCCCUUACGAGUAGGGCUACACACGUGCUACAAUGGCGCAUACAGAGGGCGGCCAACUUGCGAAAGUGAGCGAAUCCCAAAAAGUGCGUCGUAGUCCGGAUUGGAGUCUGCAACUCGACUCCAUGAAGUCGGAAUCGCUAGUAAUCGUGGAUCAGAAUGCCACGGUGAAUACGUUCCCGGGCCUUGUACACACCGCCCGUCACACCAUGGGAGUGGGCUGCAAAAGAAGUAGGUAGUUUAACCUUCGGGGGGACGCUUACCACUU